GACGAACGCUGGCGGCGUGCUUAACACAUGCAAGUCGAACGGAAAGGCCCUGCUUUUGUGGGGUGCUCGAGUGGCGAACGGGUGAGUAACACGUGAGUAACCUGCCCUUAACUUUGGGAUAACUUCAGGAAACUGGGGCUAAUACCGGAUAGGAGCUCCUGCUGCAUGGUGGGGGUUGGAAAGUUUCGGCGGUUGGGGAUGGACUCGCGGCUUAUCAGCUUGUUGGUGGGGUAGUGGCUUACCAAGGCUUUGACGGGUAGCCGGCCUGAGAGGGUGACCGGCCACAUUGGGACUGCGAUACGGCCCAGACUCCUACGGGAGGCAGCAGUGGGGAAUAUUGCACAAUGGGCGGACGCCUGAUGCAGCAACGCCGCGUGCGGGAUGACGGCCUUCGGGUUGUAAACCGCUUUCGCCUGUGACGAAGCGUGAGUGACGGUAAUGGGUAAAGAAGCACCGGCUAACUACGUG
rnacentral:rRNA from 1 species